rnacentral:tRNA from 1 species
GGGGCUGUGGCCUAGUCUGGUUUAUGGCGUCUCCCUGUCACGGAGAAGAUCGCGAGUUCAAAUCUCGUCAGCCCCG